UAUAAUAGGCGCUUUUGUCAAUCCAUCGUAGCACAAUUUUUGUGAGAGCAAUAUUUAAUUAAACUUCAAAUUCCAUAAGAAAUUCCUAAUUCAACUCAAUAUCUCAAGGCAACAAUUCUCAGAAAUACACAUAUAUGUGUGGUAAUUCAUAUUGCAAUUGUCAUAACAUAUCAAAAUUUACAUCAAUUUGCCACGACCGAGCAGACAUCAAGUGCCUGCAUCUUACGAUCUCAAACGAUUGCCUGUGCUAAUAACUCAAGAAGCCCUUCAUGGGGUGUUCCAUCAGCGACCGCUUACACAAAAACAUGCAAUCUUAAUUAGCUCUUGUUUUUGUUUUUGUGAAUGAACAAAUGAAUUAGUUGUUGGGACCCCAGCAGCUGAGGUACAUGACUAUCCUCAAAGACUCCUCUGAUUUCUUCAUCUUCUCAUCUCUCACUUUACUCAGAGCUGAGGAAGAAGGAGAAGAGAGCUUGCUGUUGGCCUGAGAAAAUGACCUCACUUGGCUCUUGGCUUGUUGGCCAGCAUAUCUCAAAGCAGAGUUCCAUCUGCAAAUCCCUUGGUCCUUGAGUGCCUCCACAAUUCCAACACUUGCUGCCACUAUAGCCUUGCUUGCACUUGAUGAACUCAUGAUUUCUUUUAUCUCCUUUGAUAUUCUGAAUUCUUUUGCUAGUGAUUGUGAAUGUUAAAUGUUUGAUGGAGAGACGAAUGGAGUGCUCUUUAUAUAGGAACUAGAAAUGGUGGGCCAUUUCCACCAAAUACUAGAGGCGGUUUAGAGAGUGUAAGGCCAAUGGUAUGUUUAUUUUUGGGGUUUCCGUCACAGAGGCAGAUUCUCUGCCCUUCAAUUUUUCGUGUCCUCCCGUGCUUUCCUGUUUUGUGUAGUUACAGUUAAAACAUGUCAACAUUUUAUAUUAUUUUUUUAUAGAGAUAAUAUGUCAAAAAUGAAUAGUAAUAUAAUAUGUUAACGUGAUUUAACUGUGACCACAUAAACAGAAGUCACGAGAAAUAGAAGUGCAGAGAAUCUGCCUCCUUCCGUCACACUCAUUGCCACCAACUACACAAAGGAGCCCACGGUUUUCCUUAUAAAAUCCAUCUAAGCCUCAAGUAUGGUAGGAAAGGGCCUUCCACGUGGUGAUAAGGAAAUCUAUUCAGCUAAACAACUAUAUCCAAUUACUUUGAGGGUACGUUUACUAAUUUGUAAUCAAAUUGAGAUGAAUUGAAUUGAGAAUGAAUUGGAUUAAGAAUGAAUUGAAAUGAGGUGGAAUCAGAAUCAGAUUCAUGUUGAAGUUGUUUAGUAAAACUAUCUGGAAUCGGAGUAAAAAUGAUGUUGAGUCCAUAUAAGUUGUUUACUAAUUCCCUUCAAUCGGAAUGAAAACUAAGUUGAUUACUAAAUUGCCCUUACAUAAAUAAAUUAUUUUCAUGCUAAUUAAUUAAAUUAAAUUCUUAAUUAAAUUUAUAUAAUAAAAUUCAUCUAUACAAAUAGGUUUUAAUUAUUUAUUAAAAGAUGGCAUAAUGAGUGUCAAAUGAAGGGCAAUGUUGGGAUAAUAAUAAACAAGUGAGGGCAUAAUUGGUAGAAGAAAUCUAUUUCGGAUUCCUAAAGUGUCAAGGAAUUGAAAUACCUUCCUCAUGUAGUGAGUCAAAUUCCUCCAAAAUUAGGAGUUGGAUUCCUUAAUGCGUGUGGACCCCACAUGUAUUUUGAUUCUCCAAGAUUACAUAAACAAAGGUGUAUCCUGUAAUUGAAAUCUAAUUCCGUAAAUUGAUUCCGAUUAUGGGUACAUAAGUGUGUCAUGAGAGUGACAAAUCCGUUGUAGCAAUAUAUUAAUUUUUUUUCAAAAAAUUACUUUGAGAGUAGUGAAUUUUCUAGCUAAAUAUGUGGAUAAAAUAAAGGAAAUUUUAACAAAACACUCUCAUUACUGUUCAUUUUUAACGAAAAACAACAUUUUUACCUUUCCUUGGUACUAUUCACUACACAUUUAUUUGUCAUUUUUCAUUAAAACUAAAGUUUUUUUUUACUUUUCAUUAGUUUUCCUUAAAAUAAAUUGGGAGACGUGGAACACUUGUAGUUGUUGGACUCCGUUUGUAGUUCAAUAUGUUUUGAUGUCAUGAAGAAAAUUGAGGUUCCAUCAUAAAAUCAACUGGCAAUAUGAGAAGUAAGUCAAUCUUUUAUAAUUCCUUGCAAGGUUUUUUCUUUCAUCAAUGUGGAACUCUUUUACUUUCACAUCCUCACACAGCCCUCUUACAUGUGGUAAAUUUUCAAAACAAACACGUGUUUUGCGUCACCCAAUUCAUAUUGUUCACAUGUUUGGCUCCAAAAUUCAUCACAAAUGAGAUGGUGUGUGAGGAUGUGAAGGUAAAAGAGUCUCACAUCAGUGAAAUGAUAAACUUUGCACAUGCUUAUAAUUAAGAAACUGGGUUGCUCGCUAUGUUGCCAAUUAGUUUUAUGGUGAAUCUCAACUUUUUUCGUCCUAUCAAAGUAGGUUGUCCCACAUGCUUCACACCACCCUGUUUGUGUUGUCAUUAUGUUAGGUAUGAAAAUUUCCCACAUCUGAGGAAGCAUUUGAGAAUAAAUCUCACAUUGGUGGGAAGAGAGACUUUGUAUGGGUUUAUAAGUAAAUUAGAUUAUUCUUCAUUUAUUAAUUGAUUUUAUGGUAGAAUCUCAACUCCCUUCACAAAGGUCUACAUGCCUACACGUCAACUAAUAUAUGUUAUCCACAUGUUAUAUAUACUUAAAAUGACCUUGCACAUGAAGGGCAUGCUGAGAUUUUUUAUUUUUUUGUCAACGAUUACAAGAUCAUCAAAAGGUGAUGUAGUCUUUUCCUGAUGAUGUCGUUAAUAGUAUUUCUCCGUCUGGAUUUGUACUCUCCGGGUGGUGUAGUCUUUUUUAUGAGUUCGUAAUUGCAGUAUUUGCAUAAAUUUUCAUCUUUCAUCCCUAAUAAUUCUAUGGUAACAAUAUUUGUAAGAGGCUAAAAGCUGACUGCCAUCUACAGCUCUACUCUACAAUUUGCACAAACCUAAAAAUAAUCCUAGGGUAAGAUAUAAUUGUGGAGCCAAAAAUAAUCACAAGGCGACACGUGAAUUUUUGGGUAAAAGAGGACAAAAAUACCCUUGAGGCAUAUUGGGAUUCCUACGCGCUAGCAGCGGACAUCAUCCCCGUCAAUCAAAUCAAAAGUGCCCAAAAUAGGUAACAAAUUCAAAAUUAUUUCAUCCAUCCUCAUCCUAUAUUUUCCACAAGGUAAUCAUUCCAUAACUUACAAAAUAUUUCACAUAAAUCACAUAACCCCCAAAAUAUUUAUACCAAAAUGUGUUGAUUAACCAAUUAAUGGAUUAAUUUCCUAAGUAAUCCAUUAAAUCACACAUUAAACCAUAAGCUACACCCUCUCCUAUAAAAACCCCAUUUUCUUCUCCAAAAUUCACUUCCAACACUCUUGCAAAACUCCAAAAACUUUCUAAACACUUUUCUCUCUAAAUUCUAACUUUGGCAUCGAAGGUUUUUCGGCCAAAAACCCCUCAUUCAUCGUGGGCACGUGAGGCUCUUGGCCUUGAUCCUAAGGUGUUGAUUGUUUUGUAGGUGCAAUUUUGUCCAAGAAGAAGGAGGAAGAAAUUUGCAUCCAUACGUUGGUGCUUUCAUUGAGAGAAGAGUCACACGCUCGUAAAAGACUCCCGCAUCAAAAGGUUUUUCUGUUUUCUUGUCCAUGUGUAGAUUUUUCGUACGUUCUUAUUAUUAGAAUUUUUUAUUUGCAAAGAUUAUUUGAUAAAACGUAAAAGAGAAAUACAAUGGCUAGAAAUUUAGAAAAAUCCACAAGUGAAAAUUCCAAUAUUCAAGAAAUGGGACCACAGCAAUCCACGAGGCUAAAUGUGAUCAUAGGAGCGGCACCAUCGCUACAUGGCUCCACCAUGGCAACGACCGCGAUGGCCACCACGGUCACCACUACCCGCGGCAUGGUCCAUGGCACUGCUACCACGGCCCAAGCCAUGUCACUCCAAGUCCAACGUGAACUCAACGCGUUGCCAAGCCGAGCCCAAGCCUAGAACCCAUAUGCAUCACACUACGAGCAGCCUGUUCCCGCCGAGCAGCCCACUCCCGUGGCCCAGCCUACUGUCGCUGAGCAGCCACUUUCGUAGCACAACCUACUCCAACCGAGCAGCCCACUCUCAUGGCCCAGCCUGCUCUAGCCGAGCAACCCACUCCCGUGGCCCAGCUUGCUCCCGCCAAGCAGCUCACUCUCGUGGCCCAACCUGCUUCCGCAGCCCAGUCUACUCCAGUGGCCUUUCAAGUAGCUCGAAUCGAUUCAAGAUUAGUUCAACCGUCCUAGCUCUAAAUUUUCUGACCGAUGAUCGAACAUGGAGCAUCUUCACCACAUUUUUCUGCAGAUUUGGCAUUUCCCAACUCAAAUCUCACGCCUGGAGUCUACCACACUUCCACUGCUCAAGAAGACGCAUUCCUUCCAAGCUAUUCCAACCCAAAUGAAGAACAACACUUGUCUCGACAAUUCAUAGAGUUGGCAAGCGCCCUCACACAACAAACGACCUUGGUGAACCAGCUCUUGCAGCACACCGAGAUGCAACGUGCCCCAGAUGAGGUGUCCUGAAGUAGGAUAAUGGCAGACAAAGAACAUCUCCAGCAGCGUCCCAGUAAGCAGCCACUCGACCAGCCACGAACCGAGCGUUCAGGUAGUAUACACUCCCGAUUGGGCUCUCGAGAUAGCGUAUACUCCCGUCUUAGAGUGUGGAGGAGCGUGCACUCUCGACUAAGCCCACAGACGAGCAUAUAUUCACGGUUAGGGUCACACUCUGAUAGUCAACAUGAGCAACCUUCCAGGCGAAGUGUUCAUUUAUGGCUAAGCCCGCAAUGAGCAUCAUCCACCUCAUAUCGGAGUAGGCAGCACGACGGACGGAGAGAAGCAGUAACUCAAUCUGGCUCAAGUUCAAUCGGCAUUCUGCGAAGAACUCGCUCACUUGCUAGGAACGAGCUAUAUGCACCACAUCCGCGGUAUAGACAAGCCAAACACAUGGAAGAACAGCCUAGACCAACAAGUCACGAUUGGGGGUAGCCGAGAGCUCUAAUACCUCAACAAAGGUAAAUUGAGGAAGAAGUAGAGAGACGUUUGACCAAACGAUUGUGUAAUUUCAACGCAACAAGGUCACCGACGAGACACUAUGACGAAACAUGACUAACAUAAGCAGGUCACCCUUCACAUACGAGAUUAAGCAGGCAAAGCCUCUACGCAAGUUCAACAUGCCACAUUUCACAUAUUUCAAAGGGGCCCAAUACUGGCAGUUGAGCACUACCUCCUGCUGCGUGUCACACGGCCCUAGCCGACCAUUGUUCUAUUAUUCAGCUCUAAGAGUGGCCCAAUACCGACAGUUGAGCAUCCCCUGCUACAUGUAACAUGGCCCCAACUCCACGGCUCUUUACUGCACCUUCACGCCUAGCCUUGACAACGCAACAGAGCGGCCCAAUGACGCCCCGAAGGCAGCCGAGCACACUUUAGCCACACAUGCUCCCUCAAUGGAGAUUUCUGGCAUUUGCAUGUCGACGACGAAUCCAACUACAAAGGCUCGCGAGCAGCCGUGGUUCUUAUCACCCAAGACGGCUCAAUGCUCGAGCAGGUGAUCACUCUAGGCUUCAAAGCAUCCAACAGCGAAGCAGAAUAUGAGACCCUACUAGCAGUCCUCUGAAUAGCAAAAGGCUUGGCAGUGAAAAACUCGCGAUUCAUUCUGAUUCCUAGCUAAUCACUAGCCAGAUUACUUGAGGCGUUUCAGACUUACUUAUCACUCAAGUUCCACAAGCAGACAACGCUCACGUGGAUACACUAGCCGGCCUAGGCUUCGCCUUCAACCACCAACUCAAACGCUAUAUUCUGGUGGAGUAUCUAGACAAGCCAAGCAUAGAGGCAAAGCUAGCAGCCGAGGUGUCACAGAACUCGGCUGCCUAGCACCUCCCAAUAACCUGAAUGUUCUAAGCUCAAUCCAUGAAGUCGUUUGUGGAAAUCACUCUGGAGGUCGAUCCUUAGCAUAAAAGGCUCUUAACACAGACUACUGUUGGCCUAUUAUACACCAAGAUGCUAAGAAGUUAGUACAAAAAUGAGACCGUUGCCAACGUUACAAGCCGAUACCAUUACUGCCUGCUAGUGAGCUACACUCGCAGACGAAUCCUUGGCCAUUCACGCAAUGGACAAUCAACUUAGUAGGGCCUAUGCCGCCUAUUACUAGGGGCAGAGGCAUGAUGAUCGUGGCAACCGACUACUUCACCAAAUGGGUAGAGGCAGAGCCCAUGAAGACCAUAACUUAGACGAACAUAGAGCACUCCAUAUGGGGGAAUAUCAUUUAUCGAUUUGGCAUCAUUCAAUCUAUCAUCACUGACAACAACCCGUAAUUCGUAGGCAAAGAUUUGGUGAAGCUUUUCCAAAAAUAUAGCAUCAAGCAGCACAUGUCUAUGCCAAGAUAUGCUCAAGACAAUAGGCUGGCCAAAGCAUCCAACAAGAUGAUCCUCGACUGCCUCGAGAAAUCAUUCACCAACAAGAAGGGAAAAUGGCCAGACGAACUCCCCAGAUGUUUAUGGGCAUAUCGCACCACCAAAAGACGAGCAACCGGUUAGACUUCUUUCUCUUUGGCAUUUGGCUCAAAAGCAAUCAUUCAUCCCAAUGUCAUCAAGCCAAGUAUCACUGCUCUACUUCCAAGCAUUGAGUAAAAUAAUAAAGAGAUGGCCACAAGCUUAGAUCUGGCAAAGGAGAAGCGCGAGUAGACCAUCACCCGCAUCACAACCUACUAGUAGCCACUUCUCUCCAGUUACAACAAAAGGGCCAAGAUCCGGCAGUUCCAUCCCAAAGAUCUAGUCCUUAGAAAAGCCUUUAUCAUUGCCCCUAGAGAAGGCUCCAAAAAGAUGGAUCCCAUCUGGGAAGGUCUAUACAAGAUUGGCAAAGUAGGCGGCAAGAGUAAUUACACCCUCGCCACCAUGAAACGAUAAAAAGAUCGAAAAGCAGUGGAGCGCCUACAAUCUGAAGAAGUACCAUGUGUAACCUCCCGCUACAUCAAAGCUUGAAGACUCAAGAAGCUCGACGGGCACCACCUCACAAGCCAAAGAUUACCCAGUUGUUAUGCAAUUCCUACCUUAUAGCUAAGUUCUCGUUCGUUUCACUCGUUUUUCAAUGAGGAAUUCAGAAGUAAUCACAACUUGGCUCGGCUAUAUGCUUACAACAAUUGAUCACUUAUGCACUUUAAAAGAAGAACGCGCCCUUCUUAGGGACUCAUCGCAUGAAUUGCACCCGACGAAGGACCAACCAUGCUCUCCAGUGUGAGAGGGUAAACCAAUUCCUCGACACCUAUAUGGGUCAGCUCUCCAAGACGGGAGGAUAAACUUUACACUCCGAAUAUCUAGACUUGGAUUAGCUUGGCUGCCCUAGUAUUUAACAUUUUGUUAUGAAAAGUUACAAUUCCUUCAGGCUACAGUCUACAACUUGUUUGAUCAAAUGGCCUGCGAGUUCUUGCUUAACUACAAAUUGAAAGAGUGGCCAAAUGAAUGAUCAAUUGGGACCCCAGCAGCUGAGGUACAUGACUUUCCUCAGAGAUUCUUCAGAUUACUUUACUUUCUCAUCUUGUGUAAAACUUGAGACCAAAGCAGAAGAUGAGGAAGAGAACUUGUUGGCCUGAGAAAAUGACCAAAGUGGUUCUUGGCAUGCUGCUGCAGAAAUCUCAUGGUGUAAUUCCACCUAUAGAUCCCUUGGUCUUUCAAGGCCUCCACAACUCAAACACUUGAUGCCACUACCCAACCGCUCAUUGCUGCAACUGAUGAACUAGUCAUACUGUCUAUAUAUAUUUUUAACACAAUAAUCUUGAUGGAAAAUUGGAAGUAAAUAAAACUGAUGUUUGGUUGAUGUGUUUGAAAUUUGAUUUGAUGAAGAAACUGGUGAGUGGGUGUUGCUCUUUAUAUGAAGAGAGUGCAGUUCAACUAAGUCCAUGAAUGUGGAAGGAAAGUGGAAGCCCAUAAAAUGUGGCUGAGGGGAAAACCCAUGGGAAUUAAGCCAAUGGUUUUUACAAGCUAGACACACUCAUUGAUAGAGGCGACAAAAUUAGGUUGGGUAGGCCAAGCAAAAGCACACGAUUUUCCUUUAUAAAACCCAUUUAAGCCCCAAGAGAUUUUUCAGUGUGACCAUCAUACGGAUAGUACACCAUAUAUUGUUAUAUAAAUGGUGGGAUAUGUGUGUUAAAAAGUUAAUAAUUUAAAAAAUAAAAUUUCUCAUCACUUACAUAAAAACACGUGAUGUACCACCUGUGUUCCCGUCACAAUUAAAAAUUUCUCUUAAGCCUCAAGUUUUGGAGAAGAGGAGACACCACUUGUUUUAAUUUAUGAGGCUCUAAAACAGUGACUCCAACUUUUUUUAAAGAAAAAUGUUAUUAACACACCUAUUUUUAGUCAGUCUUAUUAAGUUUUGACUAUUGAACUCCUUCAAUUCAUUUGAUCUUACGGUUAAAAAUUAAGAGAAGUGUAAGAAGUAAAAAUUGGUGUGUGGAUGCAAUACCCUUUUAAAAAUUAGAGAUCUCAUUUUCAAAGGAAGUUGAAGUUUCUAUCAUUCUAAAUUUUGUAAACUAAAUGAUGUGGUCGUUGAUGAUUGAAUUAUUCUUUAAGUGUUAACUACCGUGCUUAUUUUUUAUUGGUAGUACACCACUUAGUUUGUAAAUUUAAUUUAAAAUUUAAUUUUUUUCUAACAUUACCAUUUGACAAUAUAAAAAAUAAUUCAACUAUUUAUAAGUACAUGUAAAUUUUUUUUUCAAUAUAAAAUUCAAGAUUAAUAUCAGUUUACUACCCUGAAAUUUCUUGAUUUUCAACAUUUGAUACAUCAAGUUUUUUUUCGUCCUAGUUUGGUACCUAAGGUCAUAAUUCUGGGACACUUUCACACUUCCGUUAAGUUUUCCAUUAAAAAUUCUGUUAACUAAAUGAAGUGGCGCUCAAGUGAAUAAUAAUUGAGCGCAUGUCAAUAUGAGUUCACGUGAAUAUUACAAAUUUUAAAAAUUAAAAAAUUAAAAAUUAAAAACCAAAACUCUCAAAAACUCUCACGAGUCUUACCCCCCCCAGCAUCCACAUUUUCAAAGUCUCUCCACCUCUCUGAGAUUUCUUCUAACCCUCUCACCUCCGACUGCUAAUCAAUUCAACCAUCCAAACUUCUUAAAUCUGCCCCCAGAAAACCAUAAAAUUUGAAAAAGUAAAAAAAACCCCAAAUUUAGAAGAGAGGAGGAAGAAAAGGAUGGAGAAAUUUAGUGGGGUUGUUAGUGGCGGUUCUAGCCUUUGGGAUUCCGGCAUCUGCAUCUGCAUCUUCUCGAAGCUCUUCUUUUUCCUCCGCUUCUGCAUCUUCUUCUUCUUCCUAGGCUUGUUCUUGUUCAGUGAUCCAAGCCGUUGAUUUGUUGCUGCAUACACAAGUUUUGGGGUCCAAUUUCUUUGAUAUCUUGACUGGAAUUGUGGGUUUUUAUAGAAAUGGGGGAAGAGAGAGGUGAGUUGGUUUUGGGUUGUGAGGAAUUUGGAGUGGCUGUAAUGGGUGAGUUGGUUUUUUAUGGGAAGAGUUGCAGAAAUGUGCAGAGCUGCUAAGAAAGUCAUCAGCUCUGUUGAUGCAUAAAACCGGAGGUCUUGGAACAACGUAAAUCGACCGUGAAUCUGCAUGAAAUGUAAAUAACACAAGAUGUAUCAUGAUUCACCCCAAGGUUUGGGCUACGUCCACACUGAUAUUGUAUUUAUCUGAGGGAGAGAGAGCUCUGAGAGUGAGAGCUUUGAGAGGGGGUGAGGAGCCUUAGGAAUUGGCCUAAAAAAUGGCCUCCCCCAAUUGUGAGGGUGAGGAGUCCUUUUAUAGAAUAAGGGCUCUUCACUUAUUACAUAUUUGCCUCUUCAUUUAUCACAUAAUUACAUUUAAGUCCCCCGCGUAUUUGUAUGAGAUCUAAAUACGAGACCCUAAAUAUGGUAUAAACAAGCUCUUAACAUUUUUAAUUUUUAAUUUUUUUUUAAUUUUUUAAUUUUUUAAUUUUUUAAUUUUUUAAUAAUUACGUGCACACGUGGCGUCCAGUUCUUGUUCAUGUGGACGCCACGUUAUCAGUUAACAAAGUUUUUAACGAAAACUUAACAGAAGUAUGAAAGUAUCCCAGAAUUAUGAUUUUCGAUGCCAAACUGGAACAAAAAAAAUUGAUAUAUCAAUGUUGAAAAUCAAGAAACUUUAUAGUAAUAAACUGAGAUUAACCCUAAAAUUUAUAUCCUAACAAUUUUCCUAUAUUUUAAAAGAAUGAUUCAUAGGAAAUAUUGAGAUUUGAGAGUCAUACGGAUAAAAGGAUGAAACAAACUAUUGGAUUGGACAUCACUAAUAAAGUCAUCAAAUUCAAUCCAAUCAUGUAGGUCGUCAUCCGAUUCAAUCAUAUUGGUUUUGAUAUUUAGGGAUCCAAGUAACAAAAAUAUUAAUCUUACCACAUAUUUUAUACCAUUAUUUGUAUCGUCUCUAAUAAAGAUAUAACUCUCUUACCACAUAUUUUAUAUCAUUAUUUGUACUGUCUCUAAUAGAGAUAUGAUCCACAUAUAUUGGUAAGUGUAAUAUUACUCUCCAAGUAAUACUUUAAAUCUUCAAAACCAUUUACAAUCGGAUUGAAUCAGAUUCGAUCAGUCGGUUUGGUGGAUUGAAUGGGAUCUCAUCUAUCCUAGCUUCAGACUUGAACGUUUCUAUUUCUUUUCCUUUGGUCUAAUCGGAUGUUUUUGCUCCUUUAUCUUUUGGCAUAGCUGGAUGUUUCUGAUUCUUUGAAUCAAUUAACUCUUUCAGAUAAAUAAGUAUACAAAACUUGAAAAAUUAAAAUAUCCAAAUAAUAGAGUUAACAGGGAUACAUAGAGUUUUGUCUCAAACUGAAAUCACUUAAGUACGUUCGCCUACAUUUCAAGGAAAGUGAGAGUAUAGUAGGCGCUUUUGUCAAUCCAUCGUAGAACAAUUUUUGUGAGAGCAAUAGUUAAUUAAACUUCAAAUUCCAUAAGAAAUUCCUAAUUAAACUCAAUAGCUCAAGGCAACAAUUCUCAGAAAUAUACAUAUGUAUGUGGUAAUUUAUAUUGCAAUUGUCAUAACAUAUCAAAAUUUACAUCAAUUUGCCACGACCGAGCAGACAUCAAGUGCCUGCAUCAUACGAUCUCAAACGAUUGCCUGUGCUAAUAACUCAAGAAGCCCUUCAUGGGGUGUUCCAUCAGCGACCGCUUACACAAAACCAUGCACUCUUAAUUAGCUCUUGUUUUUGUGAAUGAAUAAUUGAACUAGUUGUUGGGACCCCAGCAGCUGAGGUACAUGACUGUCCUCAAAGACUCCUCUGAUCUCUUCAUUUUCUCAUCUCUCACUUUACUAAGAGCUGAAGAAGAAGGAGAAGAGAGCUUGCUGUUGGCCUGAGAAAAUGACCUCACUUGGCUCUUGGCUUGUUGGCCUGCAUAUCUCAAGGCAGAGUUCCAUCCGCAAAUCCCUUGGUCCUUGAGUGCCUCCACAACUCCAACACUUGCUGCCACUAUACAGUUGCUUGUGCUUGAUGAACCCAUGAUUUCUUUUCUCUCCUUUGAUAUUCUGAAUUCUUUUGGUAGUGAUUGUGAAUGUUAAAUGUUUGAUGAAGGAGAUAAGAAAGGAGUGCUCUUUAUAUAGGAACUAGAAAUGGUGGGCCCUUUCCAUCAAUUACUAGAGGCGGUUUAGAGGAAUGAGGAUCCUAGAAAUCCUUAAAUUUUGUCUGUCCA
rnacentral:lncRNA from 1 species